UGCAUCGAUAUUUAUACCACUAAUUGUCUUAUCUUUUGUCUGAAGGUGAACAAGUUUUAAACUACAAUGUCCCAACAACAUCAAAAAAUUAUCCUUGUCAAUUAGUCAUAGUUCAUAAGUACCUUGUGAAGCUCUUCAUUUUCAAACGUGCAGUGUCAUAGACAAUGGAAAUAGAUUGUUACUAUCUUUCUACAAUCCUAACUAUAAGUAAGUUUCGGAAGUUGUGUAAGAUAACUUUAGAGCUAAAGGACGAGGUGCACAGCAAAGGAUUCUCCUUUAAAGUCUAUACCAAGUAACAAAAUGGUUUUCAGCUAAUUACAUCGAAGCCACAGCUUCUUGUAAACUGUCGAGACUUGUAGAGUAACUACAGUCUGCCAUCUGCCGUUUGCUAAGCUUCGUGGUUUCGUUUACAUACACUGAGAGUCACUAAGAAGAAGCUUUUUGCACGAGAAAUCUCAUCCUGUAUUUGGUAGCAAUAAGACAGGGGAGACAAGUCGAGAAAUAUCCGGCUUUAGAGUUGAUCCAGAAGCUUGGCUAUUUAUUUUUGACUGUCUUUCAUCUCCCUCACAUGUUUAUGUUAUUAAUUUCACCAACAUACAGUGUGAGAAAUAAGUACCAUGGGAAUAGAAUAAUCCAAUAAUAAAAAAUGUUUGUUUAUCUGUUUAACAGCAUGGCAGACACCAAAUUGGGCCAAUAUGUCUGUUGGAUUCAUAAGACAUUAGUGAAUAGCAAAACAUUGAAAACAGUAUUAUGACUGAUUCUAUCAUCAUGUUGGUGUAUUUAAUAUAUCCAGGUACUUCGUUCAAUAGAAAAAAUAUCAAAAACCGGAAAAUUGGGUGGAGUCAAAGAAGACAGUUGGACAAAAUGACAAGGUGUCUCUUACCAGCAAGUCAUUAGCUGAAUGAAACGACUAUAUUCUAAGGAACAUAUACACAUAAAUGUCGAUGUAACUUCAUCAAUCAUCCCACGCAAGUCUGAAAGCUACAAAUUAAGUAUCAUCUUACAGAGAAUUUUUUUUAUUCUGUCUUGCAUCCUGGCCGACAGAUAAAGCAUUAAAAAUAAAUUACCACAAGAUAAUGGUAGAAGAAUGAUUUUCUAGCUUUGAAAGUAGUAAUAUUGUCAAGAGAAUGAAAUAAAGUCGGUGAGUUCCGGAGGCUCGGUCAUUUUAUGUCUGGCUGUCAUAUUCAUGUAUUGACACUGAGUCGGUUGACUAAUGGACUGUCUGUUAUUCUAAGCUCAUGUUACUUCAAAGGUUGGGCUAUUUCGCCAAGUCGUUUUUCCUGCAAAUCGAAUGGCUAUCUUAUCAUCUUUCUAUACAUGAUAUCAGAGUUCAGGAAAUUAGUAAAUAUAGAUGUCACGUUUAGAAAGUAUUGACCUGUUCUAUUUUUCUAAUCCAUUUAAAAAUGGAAGAAUCUGUAUAAGAUAUUGAAGCCAAUGUCUAUCAACGUCAUUACAAUCAAUUCGUAAUCUUUAAGGGUGUGCUAAGAUAAAAAAGAAAAAAAUAGUGCAGUCAUUGUCGAACCAUCAAACAAUUUUUUUCCCUUUAGCUUAUUUUCAGAAAAACUUUCGGCUCAUCGACUUGAUGAAUUCAUCAAGCCAAUAAUUCUUUUGUGGUGCUUUAAUUCACGCGACAUUGCGACACAUGAAAUCCCACCGAAAAACCUCUACUCUGUUAUAUCUUUUUUUUUUGUUAUCGGAAAACACUUGGUGACGUUUGAAAAAUGAGCAUUUCGCGGCGUAAAAAAAAGUCUCGAGUCAUCGAUCUCGGGUACUGUCGAUCCGUUUGUCAACUGCGUUGAGAGGGAAGACCGGUUGACUAGCGCUAGCCACCAGCCACCACCCUGAAUGCUACCCUCUCUUGGAUUGUGUAUCCAACAACGAGUUAUCCGACACGUAUUGUCAACGGCCAUAUUUUAUUUACGACUUUAUAUUGCGCCCACACUGAAUCUGUAAUGUUGGUCGAAGCUUGUGGACGCAGCUAUGACACUUGAUAUUCGAGACGAUGCGUGGGUGGUUGCACGAUAAAUCUUUCCAGCAAAAUAAUACAGUGUAUGAAGUUGUUAAAAGCAGAUUAGCAGAAAAUUUUCAUUUUUUCUCAAUAUUUCCUGCUUCAAACUCAACUUUAGUAUCAACAUUCUCAUAUAUUUCUCCAUCAAUAAAUU